rnacentral:tRNA from 1 species
GUUCUAAUAGCUCAAAUUUAGAGCACAGCACUGAAGAUGCUGAGGUGGCAAUAGUGUCUUAGAGCA